CCUGAAAGCUCCUCUUCACUUGGUCC
rnacentral:piRNA from 1 species